GCCGUUUGCAUCCCAGAGCUGACUGCAUAAACAUAUACACACUGGAUGGGCGAGCAUUUAGCCUGAGCAUAAACUGCAAUUUCCAAACAAAGAUCUGACUGACAAGGGAUCAUCUGCCAUCCCUCUGUACAGUCAAACCACAGGGACUGCUCGGUAGCAGUCUGGUCGGUCCCGGUGAAAUCCAUCCCUGCUAUGAGGGGGAGGGGGAGGAAGGGAGAAGGGGAGGGAAAGAUGACAGAUCCCUGUUUGCAUUCUUCAGAGAGAGCAGCUGCAAUUGUCUUACUACAGUAUGUCAACAUGAAAUUAUGACAAAUCAGGCGGGGAUGUACUAGCAGUUGAAAACAGUAAGGAGGAAAGCAAAGUUGAGGCAAGUUAGGAAGAAUGAACUAUACCUAAAACUCCGGCAGCCUAUGCCAUCCUGGUGGAAAAUGACUUUGACAAUAUAAUAGGACUGAAGACUGUAGGUAUACCUGGACAUGGCUGAAGGACCGUAUGCAAAGUUUUCAGGCUCUGCUACCUCUCUGCCUGCUGCAGCUGGCUGGCACCUCUGAGGAAGCUGCCACGUCACACCUCGCUGGAGUCGGGGAGAGCGUGGCAUGCAAAAAUGGAUUUAAAAGGAAGUGCCCUCCAUUAACCCAACCUGAUGAGACACAUCCUCUUGGUUCACAUGGUGGAAGAUUACAGUGACGUCCACCAUCCACCCAUGAGAAGUACCAGGCCAGUUGGCUGCUGCACACUUACAGAUCUGAAGAAGAGAAGGCUCCCAGCAACCUGCCAAGAGUGCCAUUCAACUCUGAAGUGCUGGUUUGGAGGGCAAUGGCAUGAGGUGGUGAAUUGAAAGCGGUGUGAGGCAGGUGCAGACUCCCUUUGAACUCAAGAAGUAAAGAACACCUUUUUCUAUCAAAAACUUGGUCACCUCAUUAUCAAGUAUCAAUACUGAGAAAAAUUACCAAACAACACAAAUAAAUAUAUUGGCAGAU
rnacentral:lncRNA from 1 species